rnacentral:rRNA from 1 species
AACGCUGGCGGCGUGCUUAACACAUGCAAGUCGAACGGUGACGAGGAGCUUGCUCCUCUGAUCAGUGGCGAACGGGUGAGUAACACGUGAGCAGCCUGCCCCAGACUCUGGGAUAACAGUUGGAAACAGCUGCUAAUACCGGAUACGAGACGGAGAGGCAUCUCUACCGUCUGGAAAGUUUUUCGGUCUGGGAUGGACUCGCGGCCUAUCAGCUAGUUGGUGAGGUAAAUGGCUCACCAAGGGCGACGACGGGUAGCCGGCCUGAGAGGGCGACCGGCCACACUGGGACUGAGACACGGCCCAGACUCCUACGGGAGGCAGCAGUGGGGAAUAUUGCACAAUGGGCGAAAGCCUGAUGCAGCGACGCCGCGUGAGGGAUGAAGGCCUUCGGGUUGUAAACCUCUUUCAGCAGGGAAGAAGCGAAAGUGACGGUACCUGCAGAAGAAGCACCGGCUAACUACGUG